UUUAACGGCCGCGGUAUUUUGACCGUGCAAAGGUAGCAUAAUCAUUAGUCUUUUAAUAGAGGGCUGGAAUGAAAGGUUUGACGAAGUUCUGACUGUCUCAUUUAAUUUGGAAUUAGAAUUUAACUUUUCAGUCAAAAGGCUGAAGUAAUAUUGGAAGACGAGAAGACCCUAUAGAGCUUUAUAAUUAUGAUUUUAAUUAGUUUUUGUUUAUCAUCACUAUUUAUGGUUUUAAUUAUUUUGUUGGGGUGACAAAAAUAUAUAAUCAACUUUUUUAUUAAUUUAACAUUGAUUCAUGAGUUUAAGAUCCAAUCUUAUUGAUUGUUAGAUUAAGUUACCUUAGGGAUAACAGCGUAAUCUUCCUUCAGAGUUCAUAUUUACAGGAAGGCUUGCGACCUCGAUGUUGGAUUAAGAUAAUAAUUAGGUGUAGCCGCUUAAUGUAUAGGUCUGUUCGACCUUUAAAUUCUUACAUGAUCUGA
rnacentral:rRNA from 1 species